UCUAUAAAUUCUUUUUGAUGUUCAUUUCUCAUUUGAUUCUUUGAUGAUUUCUCCUAAACCUCAAGAAUCUAAUCUUUUAUUUUUAGAUUCUUUUAUUGUAUUGAUUCAACAAACAUUUCAACAUAAACACCAUUUUUGGAACAAACAGUUAGCACUAGAAGGAGGGGGCAAGGAGAACUAUCUUUAAAGCAUAUCAACCUUGGGAAAAUCCUAGAUCUAACUUCAUCUCAAGCUAAAAGAUGAAGCUUUCAUAAAGCUUUGUUUUUGUUGGGGAUGGGACUAUCAUCAAGCACUUCGUCGGCAGUUUGAUCGAGUAUUGAAAUCAUCUUUGAAAAAGAUAAGUUUCACAAUCUCACCUCAUUAUUAAAAUUCGAUUCAUAAUCUUGGCAUAAUAAGAUACAUACGUUUAUCUUUGAAAAGGAAUGGAAAUAAUAUAAAAAAAAAUUAUUUCUGACUUUAGGAGUCGUGACCGACGACGACUCUGAAAAAGAGGGAAUCGAACACAGACGACGUCGAUGGGGCUGUCGCUGCUUUCCCGCAUCGGUCGAGUUCGUCGAGUUCCGUUCGAUCUCCGCCAACGACGAGCCAGCCUGUGGCGGAAGGAGAAAAGAGAGAGGUCGUUCACUACCUCAACGGCAGUCGUGAACUCGAAAGUUCUCAGCUUUGGAGCUCGCGACGGAGAACCGAGAUCUCAACUCAGUUCACUACCUCUCCUCUCACCAACAAAACCGCUUGGACGCCAUUGAUAGACAGAUCAACAGCUCUGAGAUUCCUCAGGAGUUUCUCUGAACGUGUUGAAGGAGAUGAAGAGAGACGCCGCGAGAAUUCUCGAUUUAGAAUCAAGCACGCGUCUUGUUCGACGAAUUGAUUCAGAGAGCUUCUAUCAUCACCUGAGCAGUUUGUUUCUGCGACCAAGAUCAAGUAUUUGCUCGUUUUGUUACUCCUCGCAAACCUCAGGUUACAGAUUCCACACUUGAGGCAAAGAAGCUCACCGACCACGAUAGGGAGAAGAUGAGUCUCGUAAAGCUUGCUACUUUGAUUGCAUCACGGCACUACCUGCAACCACUUCAACCUGAGACAUGUUCUUCAAGAAGCUCUCAUGGCUGAGCUCCACCAUGACCGGUGACUUCUCCUGUUUACAAGUCACCUCCUCUGCUCAACAUCUCUGCUCCAGUCUGAAUGACUGUUGUUUCUGGAAUCUCACUGUCGUGUUCCUCCCUGCGACUCCCCUGUCACUCAAGCUCCACCUUUGUUUGUUGGAAUCUCUUGCUUCUCUUUGCUGGCUUGUUCUGUGAUACACAGAGCCCAUCACCGAACAAGAUAAUGCUGACCUGCCCAAUGAUGAAUCUCAGCAAACAUGGUGAUUCUCCUCAUCAAAGCUCAAGACUUGAUCCAGGCAAGAACCAUCUCAUCACAAGAGCUCGUCCUCUCAUCAUUUUGUUUGCAAAGACUCCUAACGGAAAGAGAGCACAAGCCUGCCGCAACCGUGGCAAGAGCUCAUCAAAAGAUCGUUUCUGAAACAGUUCGAUCUCUACUGUCGCUUGAUCUCUACCUCAGACGCUUGUUUCUUCUUCAGGCCAAAGAUGCUCUGAUCUCGUUAAGCUUGGACCUCGGCAAAGGCAUCUCGUCAAAACCAUUCUCGGCAGUCCAUGCGUUUCGUUCUCGUCGGAGCUCAAUACUUGGCCUCGGCUAUCUCGUUAUCCUCAGUCCUCACAUGUCGCAUCAACAUCAGUAGCGGCACAGAGCAUGCUUGUUCUUCAGCUCAGCAGCGACGUUGCCACUGCAUAGACAUAGCUCAACCUCAGUGAAAGCGGCGAGCAACUAAUCAUGGCAAUUUGAUUGUGACGGUUCUUUCAUGGCAAAACUCGUGGAGAACUUCUCACACUGGACUCGAAGGCAAUAACCAAGCAGAAACGACAUCAUGAUCUUGAGGACACGACCAACAGCCUAUCAUCUCGUCGCAAACUUCCAUAUGCUUGCCACAAUGAGCACAAGCUUCUCGUUAAGAAGGAACAGCACUUGAGAUAUGACCUAAUCGUCGGAUCAUCUCUCCAAGAAGCCUUCUCGUCAUGGUCAUCUCGACGUAACAACGAAGCCUCUCUCGGCAACAAAGGCUGUUCAUCACAAGCUUGCCAUCUCGGUUGUGUUUCACUGCACUGGCCACGUUCUCUAUUUUUCUUCUACUCCUUUAGGAGACUGAAUCAGAGCUUGGAGCUGUUAUAAAAAAAAAAGAGAAGAAAAAAAACUUUCAUCUCCAACAACUCAUGACCACUGGCCACUCAUCAUCAAAGACAUGUGACAUGCUCGGAUCAGUCUCUUGUCAUUGCGCCACAAAUGACAAGUCCAGAUUCUGAUUCUCAUGAAGAGCUUACCACAAGCCGUACAAGCGGCACAAGCCAACAACUUGCUCGGCGCACACGAUCUCAACACGAGACUUCGGAUCGGCAAUAGUUCGUCCUUAGUGGGGUGGAAGAUCUCCGAAUUGUAAUUAUGCCGGAGACGUGGAGGCAUUCCGUUUGGAUGGUCGACAAAGUUGAAGAUGAGUGAUGAAGGCGAACAUAAAGGAGUAGCUUCAACAAGUAUCAGAGUUAUGUUGAGAAUCCAAGCUUAGUUGUGACAUAUAAGACAAAGAUGCAUGACAGGUUCGUGUUCAUGCACGUGUUAUGUAACUUGUCUAGUGAUCACUAGACACGUGGAGAUGAAGAUCAUGCACUUGCUGACCUGAUUAAAAAUGGGUUUUUGGUUUUAAGUGUCAAACUGCGUCUUUGUUGCAUCUCAAUUACUUAAGUUUGUUACCCGUAUUUUUCCCCAUUAGACUGUUAUAAAACAAGGUGACAAAAAACGUGAGUAUAAUUUUUUGAAGAAAUAGUACCGAACUGUUUGAGAUUAAAAUAUUCUAAAUAGUUUUUUUGUGAAUUAAUAUUUUUAAAUAGGUGAGUCGUCAAUAAACUAGCACAUGUUUUUUUUUUCAUUCAAUAUAUUCAUUCAAAGGUGAGAUCUAAGUUUUAAGAACUAGCACAUGUAAUGUAAUAAAAUUUGAUAAAACUUUCUUCUUUUCAAAAACAAAAAAAAGUUUUCAUAAAGAAGGUGGCCGGUGGCCUUGGCUACCGUUACCACUUUUUUUUUUCUUUUUGUUAUAAAUACUAUCAAUUAUGAUUGAUUAGGUUUUUCGCUUGUUGUCGGAUUUAGUCUUCGCUUUGGCGACUUCGGUUCCGCUUGUCGAAAAUUUUCUUCGCUUCGCAAUUUUUUUGUUGUGUAUUUUCAAGCCAAUCCUUUUCUUCAUGUUUUCAUAUUUUAUCUCUAAUUUGCUUGAUUCUCUUCUCCCGUGCAAAAUUAAAUUUUUUCAUUCCGGUUUUUUUAUUAGCUCUCUUUUGAUCUUUGAGUGCUAGAUCUCCUCCAUGGGAAUGGGAGAGUAAUCAUCUUCUUCCUGUUGAAAUAAGUUGGGAAGUUUCUCCUUCUUGGUUGAGAAUCUUAGUUAAUAGAUGAGACAUACCGAUUGAAAGCAGAUUUAGCAAAGUUGGGGUUUUAUAUGAAACGUCCUAACAUAUGAUUUGUUCUUUUGAUUGGUCAAGACCAUCUCGAGCUUAAUGAUCGAGGAUCAUUCUGAGCUCAAAGAAGAAGGCCGGCGAACACUGCAUGUGGGUUUCAAGACGGAUUCGAAAGAGGCGGCAAAACGUCAUGCGUCAUCUCCAAAUAGACGACUGGAGAGAUGAUCGGAAAAUUGAUCCGAGCGCCGGUGAGCAGGUGUAGACAUUUCGGGAAUCUUCUCACCACUCAAAGACAAGCCUUUUUUUUUAACACGUGUUCUACACGUGCUUUUUCUUGUAUUAAUCUUAUCUUUAGAUUUGUAUUGGGCUUUUAUGUGUUGGAAACGGUUUUCGAAUUCUUUGUGAUGUUUAAGCUUUAUAAAAAGCAAUGUUGACAAAAAAAAGCACAUGUAAUGUAAUGACAAAUCCAAAGAAAUAUUUUAAAACUCCUAAA